rnacentral:rRNA from 1 species
GAUGAACGCUGGCGGCGUGCCUAAUACAUGCAAGUCGAGCGAACGGACGAGAAGCUUGCUUCUCUGAUGUUAGCGGCGGACGGGUGAGUAACACGUGGAUAACCUACCUAUAAGACUGGGAUAACUUCGGGAAACCGGAGCUAAUACCGGAUAAUAUUUUGAACCGCAUGGUUCAAAAGUGAAAGACGGUCUUGCUGUCACUUAUAGAUGGAUCCGCGCUGCAUUAGCUAGUUGGUAAGGUAACGGCCUACCAAGGCAACGAUGCAUAGCCGACCUGAGAGGGUGAUCAGCCACACUGGAACUGAGACACGGUCCAGACUCCUACGGGAGGCAGCAGUAGGGAAUAUUGGGCAAUGGGCGAAAGCCUGACGGAGCAACACCGCGUGAGUGAUGAAGGUCUUCGGAUCGUAAAACUCUGUUAUUAGGGAAGAACAGAAGUGUAAGUAACUGUGCACGUCUUGACGGUACCUAAAGAGAAAGCCACGGCUAACUUCGUG